rnacentral:misc_RNA from 1 species
GAUGAAGAACGUAGCGAAAUGCGAUAAGUAAUGUGAAUUGCAGAAUUCAGUGAAUCAUCGAAUCUUUGAACGCACAUUGCGCCCCUUGGUAUUCCGAGGGGCAUGCCUGUUCGAGCGUCAUUAUAACCCCUCAAGCUUAGCUUGGUGUUGGGGCCUGCUGUAAUAGAGCAGCCCUUAAAAUCAGUGGCGGUGCCAUUAGGCUCUAAGCGUAGUAAUUCUUCUCGCUAUAGGGUUCUGGUGGAUGCUUGCCAUUAACCUCUAAUUUUCUAUGGUUGACCUCGGAUCAGGUAGGGAUACCCGCUGAACUUAAGCAUAUCAAAAGCGGAGGA